rnacentral:rRNA from 1 species
UACGGAAGGUCCAGGCGUUAUCCGGAUUUAUUGGGCGUAAAGCGAGCGCAGGCGGUUCAUUAAGUCUGAUGUGAAAGCCCCCGGCUCAACCGGGGAGGGUCAUUGGAAACUGGUGGACUUGAGUGCAGAAGAGGAGAGUGGAAUUCCAUGUGUAGCGGUGAAGUGCGUAGAUAUAUGGAGGAACACCAGUGGCGAAGGCGGCUCUCUGGUCUGUAACUGACGCUGAGGCUCGAAAGCGUGUGGAGCAAACAGGAUUAGAUACCCUGGUAGUCCACGCCGUAAACGAUGAGUACUAAGUGUUGGAGGGUUUCCGCCCUUCAGUGCUGCAGCAAACGCAUUAAGCACUCCGCCUGGGGAGUACGACCGCAAGGUUGAA